CCAGGUCUUCACGCAUGCCCAAAACUUUCUUCUCUUUCUCUCUUACAUGGAAUGUGGUUGUGGACCAUGUCAAAGUAGGAAUUAGUUUGGAUUUCAAAUUCUAUGAGAUAGAGUUUUUAGAAAACCAAAACUCUUUCCUUAGCACUGAUUUUACCUAGAUUUUUUUUAGGAUCUUUUUGGAUUUUAUGGCACAUAAUAUACACCCUUUUCUGGUGGUCCAUGGCAGAAAA
rnacentral:lncRNA from 1 species